AACUGCUAUAAUGAAUGGUAAUACUCAGCGUAAACUUGUUAUGUCAGGCAUAAAGUACUAAACCCACGAAUGCAUAUUACGCAUAUUACAAUUUACGAAGCAUUUUUAAAUUCCCAUGAGCAAACAAACGUUCACUUUACAAAAAUAUUUUAAUUUUUUAAAACAAAUUAAUCACCCUGUCAAAAUCCUUUGUGUUACGGCAUUGAAAUUCGAACAAUACGUUAUUUCAAUGAUUUUGGGUUUUUUUGAGACACCCUGUAUAUGCA
rnacentral:lncRNA from 1 species